GAUCCUGGCUCAGGAUGAACGCUAGCGGCAGGCUUUAAUACAUGCAAGUCAAGGGGUCAGCAAUGGCACCGGCGGACGGGUGAGUAACGCGUACACAACGUACCUUUAACUGGGGGAUAGCAUUUGGAAACGAGUGGUAAUACCGCAUGUGGUUGCAAGGGGAGGCAUUCUUUUUGCAACUAAAACUCAGGUGGUUAAAGAUCGGUGUGCGUCCGAUUAGCUUGUUGGUGAGGUAAUGGCUCACCAAGGCGACGAUCGGUAGGGGGCGUGAGAGCGUGAACCCCCACACGGGUACUGAGACACGGACCCGACUCCUACGGGAGGCAGCAGUAAGGAAUAUUGGUCAAUGGAGGCAACUCUGAACCAGCCAUGCCGCGUGGAGGAAGAAGGCGCUAUGCGUUGUAAACUUCUUUUGGGUGGGAAGAAAAUGGUCAAUUUAUUGACAACUGACGGUACCAUCAGAAUAAGCACCGGCUAACUCCGUG
rnacentral:rRNA from 1 species